UAAGUGGCCGUACAAAAACCUCCUGCACUCUGAACAAACCUCUAACCACUGAAAAUGAACCUUUUAAUAUAAAACAUCACAGUACACCUUAUUAAAUGUAGAAGACGAUUUAACUUAAGUGACUUAAAAUUAUUUAAUGCAUUUAAAUCAUAAUUAUCAUAAUUGUAUCUUUAGUAUUAAGAAUUGAAAGACAAAACUUAAUUUUCACAUAAACCUAAACAUACUUUUAAAACACACACAAACAAACAAAAAACUGUUUAAAACAGCAAACAGAAAAACUUUAAAAAAUCAUGAAUUAUGAGGCUAUACUGAAGACAGUUUUACAGGUAUAUUGUAUUUGUUGAUACCAAAAUCAAAAGGUAAGCAUACAAACCAGACUCCCACAGGUGUUAAAAAUACGUAAAUAUGUUUCCAAUUAUUUUCGUCUAUUCCAUAAAAUCUUUAAUGGUAUUAGUUUCUUUUGAUUUUGUGCUGCAAAGUUCCCUUCAGUGUGUUGAGAGCAGAGAAAUCAUUUCCAUAGAGAGGAGGCUUUGCAUCAUCAGCUGAUCCUCCAGAGAACUGAGAAGGUUUAUAGUCCUGUGAGUUCAACACUGCAGGACUCACAUCUGUCAGUCAACACAGCAGAAAGCACAACCACCAUGACUCUCAUCACCAUCCUCAUCUGGACGCUGACCUGCUGCUGUUUUACAGGAUGCAGCGGUCAGGUGACUGUGACUCAACCUCCAGUAGUGACAUUUACUCCUGGAUCCACUGUCACUCUGACCUGUAGGACCAGCCAAGCUGUUUACAGAUGGUCUAGUGGUGACGCCAUGUACUGGUAUCAACAUAAAUCUGGACAGACACCAAAGCUCCUAAUAAAAUAUGUGAAAACGCUUGAGUCAGGAACACCAUCUCGAUUUAGUGGCAGUGGAAGCAGCUCUGACUUCUCUAUGACCAUCAGUGGAGUUCAGGCUGAAGAUGCAGCAGUUUACUACUGUAAGAGUUUACAUGAAAUAAACAGUGCUUAUGUGUUCACACAGUGAUUUGUAGUCGUACAA